CGGCGUAGCUUAACACAUGCAAGUCGAACGAACCUUCGGGUUAGUGGCGGACGGGUGAGUAACGCGUGAGAAUCUGCCCUCAGGAGGGGGAUAACGGCUGGAAACGGCCGCUAAUACCCCAUAUGCCGAGAGGUGAAAUGAAUUUCGCCUGAGGAUGAGCUCGCGUCUGAUUAACUAGUUGGUGGGGUAAGAGCCUACCAAGGCGACGAUCAGUAGCUGGUCUGAGAGGAUGAUCAGCCACACUGGGACUGAGACACGGCCCAGACUCCUACGGGAGGCAGCAGUGGGGAAUUUUCCGCAAUGGGCGAAAGCCUGACGGAGCAACGCCGCGUGAGGGAUGAAGGCCUCUGGGCUGUAAACCUCUUUUCUCAAGGAAGAAGAUCUGACGGUACUUGAGGAAUAAGCCACGGCUAAUUCCGUGCCAGCAGCCGCGGUA
rnacentral:rRNA from 1 species